AUUGAUGUCAUAAAAUUUCUAGGAGUAGUUCAUCGCAGUGUAAAAUAUGUCACUUCCUGUUGCCAAUAGGUGGCGCUAUGACUAUAACUGAAUAUGGGCAUGUCAAUCUGUUCAGGUCAGGAGUCUCAUCAAACAUGUGAAGUUUGGGGCAGACUGGUCAUUGUAUGUCUGAGUUAUAGCAAUUUCCUGUUUCAUGGCGAGUCAUCGAAAUUCGCCAGGCCGCCACGGACACGCCCAUUAACGAAAACUCAAAAGCUUCGCAAUUUAACAUCGCAAAGGCCUUCAGAUUAGCCAUACCAAAUUUGGUGUUGAUCUGAAUGAAUCUCUAGGAGGAGUUCGUUAAAAUACGACGCAUGGAAAUGACAAAAAUGACACAAAAUUUGCUCAUAAUAUUAGUAAUAACCGACUUCCUGUUGGGUUUCGGAUUUUGCUCCAAGAGACUUUUUUGUAGGUAUUGGAGAGUUACAUGAGGAUACCGAUUUUCAUACAUGUACAUGAAACGUAGCUCGAGGCGCACACCGUUGAACGUGUAUAGGUGGCGCUGUUGAGCCAUUUUGCCACACCCACUUCUGAAACCCAUAUCAGACGUAAAUUUUCGCCAGUUCUGAGGUGUGUGCAAAGUUUCAUGACUUUUCGAGCAUGUUUAGGCCCUCAAAAAUCCGAUUCAUUUUGGAGAAGAAUAAUAAUAAUAAUAAUAAUAAUAAUAAUAAUAAUAAUAAUAAUAAUAAUAAUAAACGGAGCAAUUCCAAGAGGGUCCUCACACCAUCGGUGCUCGGGCCCUAAUAAUUAAAGCUGCAAGCAGCGAUGAACGGGCCCUCGCACCCGGGCUCACCGCCAUCGUGUGGCUUUAGUAAAAAGGUGAACGUUGAGAAAUAUGCAUUUAAACUCAUAAAUAUAAGUGCAAUAUAUCAAAGUUUAUUCCAUAUGUGUGCCAAUCUUCCUGUUGCCAGCAGGUGGCGCUAUCGUUAUAAUGGAAUAUUGGCCUUCAGAUGUGUUCAAGCCAGGACUCUUAUCACACAUGUGAAGUUUGGGCAAGAUCGGACAUUUUAUGCCUGAGUUAUAACAUCUUUUAUUCCCAUGGCGAGACAUCGAACUUCGUCAUGGCGACAUGGACAUGCCUUUUAACAAAAACUCAAGAUCUUCACAACUAAACAUCACACAGGUCUUUAGAUUAGACUGACCACAAAAAAGACAUUGAUGUCAUAAAAUUUCUAGGAGUAGUUUGUCACAGUGUAAAAUAUGUCACUUCCAGUUGCCAAUAGGUGGCGCUAUGACUAUAACUGAAUAUUGGCAUGUAGAUCUGUUCAGGUGAAGAGUCUUAACAAAAAUGUGAAGUUUGGGGCGGAUUGGACAUUGUAUGUGUGAGUUAUAGCACCAUCAUUUUUCACGGCGAAUCAUCGAAAUUUGUCAGGCCGCCAUGGACACGCCCUUUAACGAAACCUCAAUUCCUUCGCAAUUUAACAUGGCAAAGGGCUUUAGAUUACACUGACCAAGUUUGGUGUUGAUCUGAAUAAAUCUCUAGGAGGAGUUCGUUAAAAUACAACCCCUGAAAAUGACAAAAACAACACCAAUUUUGCAGGGAAAAUUAAAAAUAACCGACUUCCUGUUGGGAUUCGGAUUUCGUACCAAGAGACUUUUUUGUAGCUAUUGGUGUGUUACAUAUGUUUACAGAUUUUCGUACAUGUAUAUGACAUGUAGCUCGAGGCGCACUCCAUUGAAAAUGUAUAGGUGGCGCUAUCGAGCCAUUUUGCCACACCCAAUGGAAUAUUAGCCUCCAGAUGUGUUCAGGUCAGUACUCUUAUCAAACAUUUGAAGUUUGGGCAAGAUCUGAUAUUUUAUGACUGAGUUACAACAACUUCUACUCCCAUGGCGAGACAUCGAACUUUGACAUGGCGCCAUGGACACGCCCUUUAACGAAAACUCAAGAUCUUCUCAAUUUAACAUCGUACAGGCCUUUAGAUUAGACUGACGACAAAAAAGACAUUGAUGUAAAAAAUUUCUAGGAGUAGUUUGUCGCAGCGUAAAAUAUGUCACUUCCUGUUGCCAAUAGGUGGCGCUAUGACUAUAACUGAAUAUGGUCAUGUCAAACCGUUCAGGACAGGAGUCUCAUCAAACAUGUGAAGUUUGGGGCAGAUUGGUCAUUGUAUGUCUGAGUUAUAGCAACUUCCUGUUUCAUGGCGAAUCAUCGAAAUUCGCCAGGCCGCCACGCACAGGCCCUUCAACGAAAACUCAAAAGCUUCGCAAUUUAACAUCGCAAAGGCCUUAAGAUUAGGCAUACCAAAUUUGGUGUUGAUCUGAAUUAAUCUCUAGGAGGAGUUCGUUAAAAUACAACGCAUGGAAUUGACAAAAAUGACACAAAAUUUGCUCAUAAUAUUAGAAAUAACCGACUUCCUGUUGGGUUUCGGAUUUUGCUCCAAGAGACUUUUUUGUAGGUAUUGGAGAGUUACAUGUGUAUACCGAUUUUCAUACAUGUACAUGAAACGUAGCUCGAGGCGCACACCGUUGAACGUGUAUAGGUGGCGCUGUUGAGCCAUUUUGCCACACCCACUUCUGAAACCCAUAUCAGACGUAAAUUUUCGCCAGUUCUGAGGUGUGUGCAAAGUUUCAUGACUUUUCGAGCAUGUUUAGGCCCUCAAAAAUGCGAUUCAUCUUAGAGAAGAAGAAUAAUAAUAAUAAUAAUAAUAAACGGAGCAAUUCCAAGAGGGUCCUCACACCAUCGGUGCUCGGGCCCUAAUUAAAGCUGCAAGCAGCGAUGAACGGGCCCUCGCACCCGGGCUCACCGCCAUCGUGUUGCUUUAGUAAAAAGGUGAACGUUGAGAAAUAUGCAUUUAAUGUCCUAAAUAUAAGUGGAAUAUAUCAAAGUAUAUCCCAUAUAUGUGCCAAUCUUACCGUUGCCAGCAGGUGGCGCUAUCAUUAUAAUGGAAUAUUGGCCUUCAGAUGUGUUCAGGCCAGGACUCUUAUCGAACAUGUGAAGUUUGGGGAAGAUUGAACAUUUUAUGCUUGAGUUACAACAACUUCUCUUGCUGUGGCAAGACAUCAAAUUUUGUCAUGGCGCCAUGGAAACGGCCUUUAACAAAAACUCAAGAUCUCCAAAAGUUAACAUUGCACAGGCCUUUAGAUUAGACUGACCACAAAAUAUAUGUUAAUCUCAAAAAAAUUAUAGGAGUAGUUUGUUGCAGCGUAAAACAUGUCACUUCCUGUUGCCAAUAGGUGGCGCUAUGACUAUAACUGAAUGUGGGCAUGUAGAUCUGUUAAGGGCAGAAGUUUUAUCUAACAUGUGAAGUUUGGGGCAGAUUGGACAUUGUAUGUCUGAGUUACAGCAACUUCCUUUUUCAUGGCGAAACAUCGAAAUUUGUCAGGCCACCAUGGACACGCCCUUUAACGAAAUCUAAAGAUCUUCGCAAUUUAACAUCGCAAAGGGCUUAAGAUUACACUGACCAGGUUUGGUGUUGAUCUGAAUAAAUCUCUAGGAGGAGUUCGUUAAAGUACAACCCCUGAAAAUGGCAAAAACAAUGCCAAUAUUGCAGAGAAAAUUCUAAAUAACCGACUUCCUGUUGGGAUUCGGAUUUCGUACCAAGAUACUUUUUUUUAGGUAUUGGUGUGUUACAUGUGUAUACCGAUUUUUGUACAUGUACAUGAAACAUAGCUCGAGGCGCACUCUGUUUAAAGUGUAUAGGUGGCGCUAUCGAGCCAUUUUGCCACACCUGAUGGAAUUUUGGCCUUCAGAUGUGUUCAGGCCAGGACUCUUAUCACACAUGUGAAGUUUGGGGAAGAUCGGACAUUUUAUGCCUGAGUUAUAACAUCUUUUAUUCCCAUGGCGAGACAUCGAACUUCAUGACGGCGCCAUGGACACGCCUUUUAACGAAAACUCAAGAUCUUCACAACUUAACAUCGCACAGGGCUUUAGAUUAGACUGACCACAAAAAAUACAUUGAUGUCAUAAAAUUUCUAGGAGUAGUUCAUCGCAGUGUAAAAUAUGUCACUUCCUGUUGCCAAUAGGUGGCGCUAUGACUAUAACUGAAUAUGGGCAUGUCAAUCUGUUCAGGUCAGGAGUCUCAUCAAACAUGUGAAGUUUGGGGCAGAUUGGUCAUUGUAUGUCUGAGUUAUAGCAACUUCCUGUUUCAUGGCGAAUCAUCGAAAUUCGCCAGGCCGCCACGGACACGCCCAUUAACGAAAACUCAAAAGCUUCGCAAUUUAACAUCGCAAAGGCCUUCAGAUUAGGCAAGCCAAAUUUGGUGUUGAUCUGAAUGAAUCUCUAGGAGGAGUUCGUUAAAAUACAACGCAUGGAAAUGACAAAAAUGACACAAAAUUUGCUCAUAAUAUUAGUAAUAACCGACUUCCUGUUGGGUUUCGGAUUUUGCUCCAAGAGACUUUUUUGUAGGUAUUGGAGAGUUACAUGUGUAUACCGAUUUUCAUACAUGUACAUGAAACGUAGCUCGAGGCGCACACCGUUGAACGUGUAUAGGUGGCGCUGUUGAGCCAUUUUGCCACACCCACUUCUGAAACCCAUAUCAGACGUAAAUUUUCGCCAGUUCUGAGGUGUGUGCAAAGUUUCAUGACUUUUCGAGCAUGUUUAGGCCCUCAAAAAUGCGAUUCAUUUUGGAGAAGAAGAAUAAUAAUAAUAAAUAUAGCUGCAAGCAGCGAUGGCGGGCUCAAGCCACCAAUGCCAUCGCCACCCCGGUGGCAUCAGGUAA